rnacentral:rRNA from 1 species
GACGAACGCUGGCGGCGUGCUUAACACAUGCAAGUCGAACGGAGUGGCGAACGGGUGAGUAACACGUGGGUGAUCUGCCUUGCACUUCGGGAUACGCUUGGGAAACUUGGUCUAAUACCGGAUAGUGCAAGAUGAGCUUCGGGCCUAUCAGCUUGUUGGUGGGGUAAUGGCCUAACAAGGCGUCGACGGGUUGCCGGCCUGGGAGGGUGUACGGCCACAUUGGGACUGUGAUACGGACCAGACUCCUACGGGAGGCAGCAGGGGGGAAUAUUGCACAAUGGGCGGAAGCCUGAUGCAGCGACGCCGGGUGGGGGAUGAAGGCCUUCGGGUUGUAAACUCCUGUCGGCAGGGACGCGGUACCUGUAUAAGAAGCACCGGCUAACUACGUGCCAGCAGCCGCGGUAAUAC